UGUGUCUGUUAUUCCUUUGCGAAAUCCAUUAUUUCGUUGAGCUCAAUCGGACACUAUAGAGACGGCAGAUAGCAACUAGUUUGGUUCCUUGUCAUCGAACCGGCUAUACUUAUUUCUGACUACAAU
ensembl:snoRNA E01A2.11 ncRNA